rnacentral:rRNA from 1 species
AGUGAACGCUGGCGGUAGGCCUAACACAUGCAAGUCGAACGGCAGCACAGUAAGAGCUUGCUCUUACGGGUGGCGAGUGGCGGACGGGUGAGGAAUACAUCGGAAUCUACUUUUUCGUGGGGGAUAACGUAGGGAAACUUACGCUAAUACCGCAUACGACCUACGGGUGAAAGCAGGGGAUCUUCGGACCUUGCGCGAUUGAAUGAGCCGAUGUCGGAUUAGCUAGUUGGCGGGGUAAAGGCCCACCAAGGCGACGAUCCGUAGCUGGUCUGAGAGGAUGAUCCGCCACACGGGAACUUGGACACGGUCCAGACUCCUACGGGAGGCAGCAGUGGGGAAUAUUGGACAAUGGGCGCAAGCCUGAUCCAGCCAUACCGCGUGGGUGAAGAAGGCCUUCGGGUUGUAAAGCCCUUUUGUUGGGAAAGAAAAGCGGCAGGUUAAUACCCCGCUGUUCUGACGGUACCCAAAGAAUAAGCACCGGCUAACUUCGUG